rnacentral:rRNA from 1 species
AUUGAACGCUGGCGGCAUGCCUUACACAUGCAAGUCGAACGGCAGCACGGGUGCUUGCACCUGGUGGCGAGUGGCGAACGGGUGAGUAAUACAUCGGAACGUACCUUAUCGUGGGGGAUAACGCAGCGAAAGCUGUGCUAAUACCGCAUACGCCCUGAGGGGGAAAGCGGGGGAUCGCAAGACCUCGCGCGAUUAGAGCGGCCGAUGCCUGAUUAGCUUGUUGGUGGGGUAAAAGCCCACCAAGGCGACGAUCAGUAGCUGGUCUGAGAGGACGAUCAGCCACACUGGGACUGAGAAACGGCCCAGACUCCUACAGGAGGCAGCAGUGGGGAAUUUUGGACAAUGGGGGCAACCCUGAUCCAGCAAUGCCGCGUGAGUGAAGAAGGCCUUCGGGUUGUAAAGCUCUUUUGUCAGGGAAGAAACACCGGCUCUAACACAGUCCGGGAAUGACGGUACCUGAAGAAUAAGCACCGGCUAACUACGUGCCAGCCGCCGCAGUAA